AACAAAUGCAGGCUGUCUGGCCUAAGGAAUCCUCUAUUCCCAAGAACCAUCAAAAAGCCAUGCUCAGAGUCAGAGGAUGGCCAUGGUAGGGUGGAGAGACAAACUGGAAUCCUGGGACAGCAGAUGGGCAAUGGGCAGGAGCUGCUUUGCUGGACAAGCAGUGAGGUGAAUCAGGAACACGAUCAUCCGUAUUGCACCAAAGACUUCUAUGUACAAUCUGCUCUUGGACAGUCAGUCAUCAAGAUAUGGUUGUCGUUUCUGAAGAAGGUUGAUAUGCAAUAGCAAUAGCAGAGCAGAAUGAUGAAGUGUUUAUUGACCUUGCCAAUGCUGUACCUGUUCUGUAAAUAAAUAGUGGAAUUCGGUCAUCAUGGCCAUCAAGCUAAUUUCUUUCCAGAGCAUUACAUUCACUAAUUAGGCCUAAAUUUUAUGACGUGACUAAUGAUUUUGGGCACUGCCAUUUUGGGGUAUCUAGCUGUGACACUUUAUAGGGGGCUGAUUUUCAGACAUCAGGUGUUCAGCACUUUCUACAAAUCAGGAAAUUGUAAGGUGUCUCAAGUUUGGUACCCAAAAAUUGAGGCACCCAAAAUCAUUAAACUCUUUUGAAAAUACAGGCUUAAAAUGUAAGAAAUAUCCAUGUAUGGCCCCUUCCUGCUCCGUUUGUAAUCCACUGGAGUUUUGCCAUUGACAAUAAUGGAAGCAGGCCUGACUCCACAGGCACAAAUACAAUGUUAGAAAUCUCCCCUAAUAAAUUAAAUUUUCCUGAUUCUUUGUCCUUCUCUAAAAUGUUUGGAGCAUGUAGAAGAUUUUCAGUAAGGUCCCUGAUAGCCAAAACAAUUGGCAGGAAAAGCCUGAAAGCCGUUACUGCAGCAUUCGAACAUUAGCCCUACAUGCCAGUAUCUCAGAUACUCUUGCUUUUAUUGUAUUUCUGGCUGUGGUAGCUUUUUAUCCUACAUCAUCAAAGUGUGGCUUAAACAACAUUCACUUUGCCAGUGCCAGAUUCAUAGAUUCAUAGACUCUAGAACUGGAAGGGACCUUGAGAGGUCAUCGAGUCCAGUCCCCUGCCCUCAUGGCAGGACCAAAUACUGUCUAGACCAUCCCAGAGAGACAUUUAUCUAACCUACUCUUAAAUAUCUCCAGAGAUGGAGAUUCCACAAUCUCCCUAGGCAAUUUAUUCCAGUGUUUAACCACCCUGACACUUAGGAACUUUUUCCUAAUGUCCAACCUUAAUCUCCCUUGCUGCAGUUUAAGCCCAUUGCUUCUUGUUCUAUCAUUAGAGGCUAAGGUGAACAAGUUUUCUCCCUCCUCCUGAUGACACCCUUUUAGAUACCUGAAAACUGCUAUCAUGUCCCCUCUCAGUCUUCUCUUUUCCAAACUAAACAAACCCAAUUCUUUCAGCCUUCCUUUGUAGGUCAUGUUCUCAAGACCUUUAAUCAUUCUUGUUGCUCUUCUCUGGACCCUCUCCAAUUUCUCCACAUCUUUCUUGAAAUGCGGUACCCAGAACUGGACACAAUACUCCAGUUGAGGCCUAACCAGUGCAGAGUACAGCGGAAGAAUGACUUCUCGUGUCUUGUUUACAACACACCUGUUAAUGCAUCCCAGAAUCACGUUUGCUUUUUUUGCAACAGUAUCACAUUGUUGACUCAUAUUUAGCUUGUGGUCCA